ensembl:lncRNA novel transcript
AUCCCAGGGAAUUGUGUCACUCCCAUUGAGCAGCUGUGGGGCCCUCUCCCACAUGGCCCAGGUCCACCACUCUGUCAAAGGUCGCACAGCCCAGACAAAAACAGGACACAGCAGUGUGUGAAUGAGCCGGGCUUUCUCCUUCCCUCCACGUAAUAGAAGGUGCCUGAGGUUGUUGAAACACAGUCCAUUUCUCCUGGGAAUGACAAGAAUUUGAGGGAUGCUGACUUUCAAGGAAUACUGCAUGACAGGCAUCAAGAUAAACCUGAUGAAGAAAACAUAGGCCAGAAUCUGGGAAUCGGGAGCAAAGUAAUACAGCUUCGGGGACAGGCACGUAAUGAGGUCAUGAUGUAGGAGACUCCCUGCAGGACUGGCGGCCCCUGUUCCCUGGGUUGUUCUGGCUCUUUCAGGUGAGAGAGAAGGAUACAGACAGGAAAUGGCACUUCCUAGAAGGGCAACCCUCUGUUCCUGGGGUGUGUGGCAUCUUCCAGCGUUGGGUCUGAGGUUCUAGAACCUGACCCUGGAACAGGACUGAGCAGGUGCCUGUGUGCACAGAAGACCUUGUGUGAGUCCUUUGGUACCACGUUUGCUGCACGAAUGUCUGAGACACCUCACAGUCGCUUGGUUCAGCCUCUCCCUCCUCUCUCCGCUGGGGAACAUCAUCCCUCAUCACUGGAAGAAAUUACAAGGAUUGUGUAAACAAUUACAAGUAUUCUACAAACAGUGAGCAUGCUGGUUUGGCCCAUCUAUUUGUAAGAAAAAACAUGGGGUUUUAUGGCAAUGAGUUACAGCUCUGAACUCCUGGCACAAUCACAAAUAUCCUCAGCACAAAACACCAAGUGUAUGUCUCCCUUCUGUCCUAAAAGGGUAGUGUGUGCAACUCAUUGAUGGGGCUCCCAUUUCAUUUUUGAAAGAUCUGCUCACUGAUAAUACCAGUGAGAUUGUUUUCACCAAGAUCUAUGACAUACAAAUAAACUGUUGCUUCAAA